ACUGUUCAGCUUCAGAGGUGAAGACGGGAAACCGUACUUUCAUUGAUUCCCAUAACUGUUGUCUCUAAACUUGCCACUCUUCAGCUUCAGAUCUAUGUUUUUUCUUGUUUUGUUUAUAUAAUCUUGUCACCAUCCUUGAUUUCUCUUAGAAAAAAGAAGGGUCUGCUGGUAUGGGGUGGAUCAUUCUGAUGGAUCUGAUGAUAUAGUCCUCAUGGCAGGAUCUGCAGGAUCGGCGGAAUAGAUAAAACUACAGUUGAUGUGUGUAGUUCGAUUAAUCACUAGUUUUAAGGUUUGUGUUUUUCUUAAUGUCUGAGAAAUGCUUUCAAAACUGACAACCUUGAUCUAAUAAGGUUGAUCUAAUAAGUUAUGUUGAUUUUUUAAUCUGUGCAAUGACUUAGGUUUCAAUUGGCUUUGGAAGUAAAAGUUUCUACUUGUUUCGAAGAAGUCUAGAUGAAUGAAAAUAUGAAUUAUAUCAUUAUGAAAAAAAUUCCCUGUACAAAGAUCCAAAAGUUAACAAAAGUAAGCUUUUGAUUCCUUGGAGGAAGAUGAGCAUUUAAUAUUUUUUUUUACUUGACAUUUUUGCUUUUUCAAUGGACAUAAAUGAGCAGAUCUGCUCGUCAUGAUUUAUCCAUUAAAUUUAGUGUGAAGGUGCUGAUUGAAAAAUCUCAAUACAGAUUGAUGAUGGCCUUAGUGGCAGUUUUACUAAGAUAUAUUUAAUUGAAUUUUACCUGACAUUUUGAAGAAAACUCAAACCUUCAAACUUGUUAUUGUUCAAAUUAUACACUGUUAGCCAUUGUUGUUUUACCUAUUCCACCUAUUCCGUAGAUUCAUGAUGGUCUUGUGACAUUAUAUGACUUCAAACAAGAUGGGUUGAGAAAUUGUCUGAAAAGAGUAACCAAAUGAGCCUGACAUUAUAUGGAUCACUCAAGAUCUAAUUCAAGUUUUAGAAGAAAGUAAGGUAGAGGCUGGAAACAAGAUAUUUUCUUUGCCAGGAACUGAGAUUGCAGAGUUGUUUCCACGUGCAAGGGGAGAGUCAAUAUCUUUCUGUUUCCCAACAUAUUCUCUCUGCCUUGUUAUUCGACUGAUGAAUGAGCAACUUAUCAUGGUCAAGUUUAGCCAGAGAGUAUUCAUCAAUGGCAAUAAACAGUCCCUUGCUAGCAGUAAAGCUUACGAGUUCAGGAUAGCCACGGAUCAUGUAUUUUUGUUUGAUGUGUAGCUGCUAAAAUCUGAAGAAAGUAUAGACAUGGUAUUUUCAGUAAAAGUGAAAUCAUGUGGAGAUUCCAAUUAGACUGGUUGCUAAAGAUAUCCUUUUAUUCAAUCAAACAAGUGGCAUGGAGGAUAUUCAGUUCAUCCACCCCAACUACAGAAAGAAAAUCCGAUGAUGUUCUUUUAACUUGGGAAAUAGAAAACAUUGUUGAAAGAAAGCAUAGAUUGGUGGGCAUGGGAGUUUCUGAGAUCCAUUACAUAUACAGUCAGCAACAUGGUGAUUUAUUUCACGGCAUGUGGAGCAUGGCAGGGAGCUGUUUUCGGCGCUUCGGGCCCAAGAAAUGAAGAAUAUGAAUUGGGAUCCAAAUUCAAUGGAGGGACCACGUCAAAUAGUAUAGAUUAUGACAGAGAGACCUGGGAAAGACCAAACUGUUCGGACAUCUUCAGAGGGGCUUCCCGUCAUCCUACUAUUCAAAAUGUCCCAUAAAAAAAUUGUUCAAAAGAAAACUCCAUAUAAAAUUCCUUUUUAUCGUAAACAAAUGUACUUUCCAAUCAAAAUCCAUGAAAAACUAUUAAAUUGUAUUCCGUAUGAAAACAUCCAAAAGCAUUCAUCAAUGUGUCACAAUACAAGUUUAUUUGCUAAAAGACAAUCAAGAGGGCUUUACAACUUCUAGAAAACCUUUGGUAGAAGGCUGGUUCAUCAAGUGGUGCGACAGUGCAGAGCUUAAUAUGAGGGUUGUUCGAUACGUGCCAUUUACAUUGGUUGUUCAUGCGUAUUUUGGUUUCCUUGAAGGGUGGCUAUCGAUUCUUGAUGGUGUCUUCAGGAGAACGGGCGCUAAAUAUAAACUUCCGGAUAGGAACAUUAGGGGAAAUACUCCAAAUUUGUAC